ACACACACACACACACACUGGCACCUGCAGUACGUACAGAUGUGCAAGGUUGUGCAGCUAUCCUUCUUGGGACAUCGCAUUGACUUCCAUUCAUUGUAGACAGCAUAACCCUAAUCCUAACCCUAACCAGGAUCGCAGAAAUUAUGUUUUGCCUCAUAAGGAUCGGGCUUUGGUCACCAUGAGGACUACUGGUCCCGACAAGCGACAACAGAGAAGAGGUAAAGAUGGAGAGGAGCUAGAGAGGUCAUUCACUGCUUUCUUUCACUCAAGAGGAAGGAAAAGGAGGGAUGAUUAUGAGGCCUGGUGGAUCUUUUACUUCAUUCAUUUAGGACAAGAUGCCCUUUUCCAAGCUGCACGAGGGCGCACAAGGCGAACAUGAAUCAACGCGGACUGAAACGCGUGCAGAAUGCCAGAGGUAGGCUUACAAACGGAGGUUGAACGUCUCCCCUGCUCCUCACUUGUUGGCGUCAGACACCGUACUGAAUUUUUCGUCACCUGAUACGUAAAACGAGCGGCAAAACAGAGCCGUAUCACUGGCAGACUGGGCUGGCGGGGUGUGGAGUGCUCACAGGAUUUAGAGUCAGGGAAUGAUUGUGGUUUGGUUUAAUAUUGAAAAAGACAAAAGUGACUCAAAACAUGAGGCAGGACGUGUUUAUAACCAAACCAUGUUCUUUCCCUAAGCUUUACCAAAGUGCUUUUGUUGCCUAAACCAAACCACACGCGGGAUGUGAACCCCAACAACACGAAGUGUUUACUGCCAUGCUAGUGACUCAGCUGGGCUGUAAACCAAACAAAAAAAAACCCCCAAAGUAUUGGACAAAGUGGACUUGAUGAUGCUGCUACAUGAAAAGUCAGAGGAUCAGAGUUGUUAUAAAUCAUCCUGAGGGAAGCAGAAAUGUCUAAAUUGGAUGGUAAUUUUAAACCAUAAAUGCCAACCUCAUGGACUGGCUGGAGGAAAAGUCAGGGGAACACCAACGUUAUUAGGUUACAUGUCUGGGAAUUAUCUUCUUCUGGGAAUAUUCUUUUUUUUUUCUUCUUUAUUUUGCAGUAGCCUUUCCACCCUUUGUUGUUUUUAUUUAAUGAAAUUCUGUUAAUUUUGUCUUGGCUUUUAGCUUCUCAUCUUCUUGUUUACUUUAAAUCCAUGUACAGCUGAGUAUAUGUAUGUAAAAGUGUGUUUUUCUAUGUGUGAAUAUCAUAAAAUAAACAAAUGUACAA